rnacentral:tRNA from 1 species
AGGUAAACACAAAGGAAAAGCUUCUAACUUAAUCCUAUAGCAGUGAAAUUCUGUUAGUACCUCU